UAUAUGUCUCUAUUGGUAGAUGCCGACCUAAUCACACAGUCUCCUAAUCACACAGUUGUCUGUUGUUUUUGCUGGAGUCUAGAGUUUUUUGUCUGUCCUUUGUCAGAGGCUAUUCAACUUCAAGUCCACCCUGCUUACUGCUAACAAUGGGGCUGGAGGUAAAGUGGUAAAGUGUGUAUCUCCAAGGCAACUGUUGCCAAUGCAAAACACUCAAGGACAACAUUCCGCUUAACAAACACAUGAUUAACUAGUACUGUAUGGACUGGGAUUAUAUGUAUUUAUUUUUCAUACAUCCAUUAUAGGCUGCACCAGCCGUUUUCUUGGGAUGUAUGACGAUGUAGGGUUCAAAAACGAGAAUAGAGAGAGAGAGUUGGAACGCCUGCUAGAAAUGGAAAGAAUGAAACUUCACCGACUGAGGGACACAGCCGGCUUCAACUUCACCAUGAAACUACCAGGCAUUCGCUUGGCCUCCACUCCGGUGAUUAUUCCUCACAGCUCACCUCCCUCACGCCAGAGUCGUUGCCUGAUGGUCACGUCUUUGGCGUUGCCAAAGAUCUCACAUGUGACCCAGUCCUGGAAAGACUUUCAGAGCCUUCCCAGGCUGAACCCUCUGCAUCCCCCGCUGGUCCCUAAACGCACCGUAUGCCUGGAGACGUUGGCUGUCCACCACCACAAUCAGCAGAGGUCCCUCUGCAUGCAGAGGAAGGAACACUACACGUAUCAUCAAGGGUGGCGGAGACCUUUCUAUGGUACCAGCAGUGAGAGAGAGGAUUAUCGGUAUAAAAUAGCCCCCCCCCCCAUUGAUUCAACAAGCCUCGGGGUCGUCUUUCAUCGAAAGAGAUACGAGAGCAGCUGAAAAAGCAGAUAGAGGAGAAAGGGGUUGGGUUGAGGCUGCAGCUGGCCAGUAAAGUGAAGGAGGCUGACUACAUGCGCGAUGAGGAGCGCCGCGCUGUGACCAGAGACAGAGAGGAGCGCAUCAAACACAACAGAGCGAUGACGCUUUACCGAGAUGAGAAUAAGAAGCUAAUGGAGCAGACAUGGAGAGACAGAGCACUAACCCGAUCCCUCGGGGCUCUGGAGGAGAGGGAACUACUGCGCUUAAACCCCAUUAACUGGAGUGGAACACUGAAAUAGACUGAACCUCAACACAUCCACUCUGAUCGAGAUGCAUCUUUUUGGCAGAUGGGACAGACUGUGUAAUUGCUAAUGGGUGGGUUAUAUUACCCCAUUAUAAUUGGACACAAUGAGACCACACUCAAAGUCUCAUUCUCCACAGUGCUGGGUAAUUGCAUGAUAACGUUUAGAUUUUAAUAGAAUCAGUUUGUUUUUUGAGGAUUUUCCGAGUUCAUUGAUAAAUUGAGAAACAUGCCAUUAUAGAGAAUUUCUCAGAUUAUGUUUAAAGAUUUUAUUGAAAGUGCAAAAAAGGGAAAUAUUUUAGGAAAAAAUGAGUCAAAGCUAUUUAAUUAAAUGGGAAAUAAUAGUUAGCAAAUUAUGUUUUUGCAGCAGGGAAGUGAGCCUUCUAGUCUAAUAAAGUGGGGGGAAAUCACAAUCAACCAAAUAGCUUGAUGGUUUCUAAAAGUCAUGGCACACAUAAUUCUGUAAAAUAAAAAAAGAAAGCAGAACAUUUGGAAACAUAUCACAGUAUUAAAUUCCCCCCAAAAAAUAUUCUUUGAAACCAAUGUCCAGGAAAUAAAAUAGAGUUUAUGUCUUGCAUUAAGGAGUGCAAAUACAUUUCUAAAACACACGUAACCACUCUAGUGUUAGAGCUCAUCUGGCAGUUUGACAAAUAAAUUAAAUGAACAUGCAGCAGUCGAUUCUCGUCCUGAAAAACAGAUAAUAAAUAAACAGACAAAGUCAUUGAAGUAACUUUUCACAUGCAUUCAUAAAAAAAAAUCAAGUUAAAAACAAUGGAAAUUAAUAAAACAGUUCUUCAUAAUGGAUGGAUUCCAGAGUAUUUCAAGGAGCUUGCUUUGAAAUGAUAAAGGCUCAACCCCACCCAAGCAGCAGGCCUACAUAGUGCAACACCUUACCCAGCAACACCAUAUCAAUAGCUCUACCAUUCAUUCUGAGAAAGCUUCGGUUUAAAAGCAUACAGCCAAAUUAAAUAACAAUAGGAUAGACAUGAUAAAUGCUCCGGACGUUCAUAUUAUGUGAAUAAAUAACUUUCUUUCUUGUGCAAUAUUUUCCCACAGAUGUAAAAUGAAAAUGCAUAAUAAAUGUGUGACAAUCA